GAAGACAAAACUAAAGAGGACGACGACGAAGGGGGCCAGAAAUUGCCAGUAGAGCUUAAUCAAGAAGUACAGUUCAAGAUUGGCAGCUACAUUGAGGUAGAGUAUGAGCUGAACAGAGGAAGAAAGAAGGAAUGUAAAAAUAUGUUGGAGAAAUUAUUGAUGUGGUCGAUGAUGAACCAUAUGUUAGCUUUUUGGAUAACUGAACUGUAAGAAACAUUAAAAAGAAAAGACUGAUAGAAGAUAAAGCCUAAGUGGCACCAUCACAGAUUGUGAGACAUUUGAAUAUUCCAGAAGAUAUUAUUCAAGCACGUGCAGAAAUGUUGGUUUUUAAAGAUUACCCUGUUUAGAGUUAAAAAUAGAAAAACCUUUCAGCAAAUUCCCAUGAUCAGCUAGACCGAUCUUUAACAACCUUUGUCUGUAGCGUCAUUAUAAUGGUUCCACUUGGUCUCUGUUAAGGGCUACUAGAGAUAGACUAUGGGGUGGGGCGGGGGAGGAACUUCUUAGAAUUGCCCUUGUCCGUCGGUCCAAGUUUGUGUCGUUUCCUCAAAUACCUUUUGACCCAGAGUUAUCAAACCUCACAGGAUUGUAAUUCAGCAGGGGAAGUUGUGCCCCAGGGUUUCACACAGCCAGACCAGAGUUAUUGCCCUUGACGAAGUAAAACAUGUGCAUAAAAAGGGCCUACGUUUCAGUCGCAUGUUUCUCUAGAAGAAUAUGAAACAUCGCAGGAAAAUUAUUCAGCAUGUGAUAAUGUGAACCUAGAGUUUUUGAUAGGAGAUAUCACUUAUCCAGACUAGAGUUAUUGCCCUCGAUUUAGUCAAAACAUGCAUAUAGAGACUAAAAUAUUACUGAGCAUGUAAAGUUGUGCACCUGUGACUUUGUUCAGUCUGUCAAUCUGCACAUAGUUAUGGUCCUUGAUAAAAAAAAUACAUAAAUGGGAUACAAGAUUGUGUCGAAUGUAUCUCAAAAUGUAUUUUACUCAAAGGCAUAAAA
rnacentral:lncRNA from 1 species